GACGAACGCUGGCGGCGUGCUUAACACAUGCAAGUCGAACGGAAAGGCCCUGCUUUUGUGGGGUGCUCGAGUGGCGAACGGGUGAGUAACACGUGAGUAACCUGCCCUUGACUUUGGGAUAACUUCAGGAAACUGGGGCUAAUACCGGAUAGGAGCUCCUGCUGCAUGGUGGGGGUUGGAAAGUUUCGGCGGUUGGGGAUGGACUCGCGGCUUAUCAGCUUGUUGGUGGGGUAGUGGCUUACCAAGGCUUUGACGGGUAGCCGGCCUGGGAGGGUGAACGGCCAACUUGGGAAUGAGAAACGGGCCAGAAUCCUACGGGAGGGAGCAGUGGGGAAUAUUGCAACAUGGGCGGAAGCCUGAUGCAGGCACGCCGGGUGGGGGAUGACGGCCUUCGGGUUGUAAACCGCUUUCGGCUGGGAAGAAGCGUGAGUGACGGUAAUGGGUUAAGAAGCACCGGCUAAAUAAGUG
rnacentral:rRNA from 1 species